UCUCACUUCGUCAGAACGAACUGUUUGUUCUGACGGUGAAUGCAAUUUUAAAAUUUUUAGUGUUUAUGUCAUUUUUUCUUAGUUUUUAUACAUUUAACAAAGUGUUUAUUUACAAUAUUCUCUGUAGACACUAUUCAGAAUAAUCAUAUAAUAAUAAUUCGAUUAAAUGAACUCGCCUUGAUAAAGUCUAAAUAUAUAGACGAAACGUUGCCUUAGUCCAAAUUUGUCGCCUGAUUUCAAUGAUUCUAACCCUGUGAAUUGAACUGCAACAUGUUUACUCAAGGACGUGAAAACACCGAAUCUGUUCAGUUACGAUGUUAACAAAAAAAUGGAGCAAUUUGCGGACUCGUUUCCGUAGAGAAAUUAAA